rnacentral:lncRNA from 1 species
GAGCCCCUUUUCACUCUCCUUUGUUUCGCCAUACACCUGACCCAGCAGCGUAUAACCAUCGCCGACAAGACCGUUGUUGCCAUCUUGAAUUCCAUUUGACGAAUCAACUCAGCUAUAAAAUUUUCUUCGUCGCUCUCGGUUGAAUCCAUCUCCGACACGGCCGGCGUAUUGAGAUUCGAAGAAGACGACUUGCUAGGGUAUGAAUUCAGCAAGCUCUUGCUGUGCGUACUACCAUUAGUUCAGAUCAAGUCAGUCGCCGCCGGAGACCACCUCAGGAGUAAACGACGAACUGCAACACGUUGCCGGUUGUUCGAACAUGUCCAUGCAGGUAUAGUGAGCCCUAACCGAAACGAAACCUCUCCGCAAAUCUUCG